GUGUCAGCCGCCGCGGUAAUACGUAGGCAGCGAGCGUUGUUCGGAGUUACUGGGCGUAAAGGGUGUGUAGGCGGUUAUUUAAGUUUGGUGUGAAAUCUCCCGGCUCAACCGGGAGGGUGCGCCGAAUACUGAAUGACUUGGAGUGCGGGAGAGGUGAGUGGAAUUCCUGGUGUAGCGGUGAAAUGCGUAGAUAUCAGGAGGAACACCGGUGGUGUAGACGGCUCACUGGACCGUAACUGACGCUGAGACACGAAAGCGUGGGUAGCAAACAGGAUUAGAAACCCUCGUAGUCC
rnacentral:rRNA from 1 species